UACAGAGGUCUCAAGCGUUGUUCGGAAUCACUGGGCGUAAAGGGUGUGUAGGCUGUGCGUUAAGUCAGAUGUGAAAGCCCAGGGCUCAACCUUGGAACUGCAUCCGAUACUGGCGUGCUAGAGAAUUGGAGAGGAGUCUAGAAUUCACGGUGUAGCAGUGAAAUGCGUAGAUAUCGUGAGGAAUACCAAGUGCGAAGGCAGGACUCUGGACAUUUUCUGACGCUGAGACACGAAGGCUAGGGGAGCAAACGAG
rnacentral:rRNA from 1 species